rnacentral:lncRNA from 1 species
AAACACAAUCACGUAGUAAGGGGGUCCACGUGGUUUGGAGACAUUUUCUUCCUCUCCAAGCUAAGCACUCAAUUUUUCCAGGAUAUAACCCCACACAGAGAAUAAAAUGAAGGGGGAAACAAUUAGAAGAGCAGCAACGAGUGGGGAACGGGAAUUGAACAAAAAACCAGAGGGGAUAGAGAAGAGUCAAACUGAGAGGAAUAGAGUGAGAGGGGUGACGGAAGAAACUCUAACAGGGCACUAGACACCAAGGAAGUUAGCACUCAAAUUUUUAGUUUCUUUUCUCUUAAUCUCGUCGAGCUUCACAGUAAUUUAGCUACCCUUCUUCAUCAACGGACAUCCACAUAACUCCUCUCCAUUGUUUCCAAAUAUCUCACUACCAUGUGAACUAGGAAUACCUUCCUCCGAUUUUGCUUCACCAAAAUAAAACUACAUCACCACCUUGAAUCCUAUAUUAUUAUCUCGAAUUUUCUCUGAUUGGUAAAAAGUUUCUGUCAGUUGAGCAAAAUUUUUGAAGUUGAGAUUUGGGGUGCUCAGAUCUGAGAGACAAAGAGGUCUCGGGACAGUCCGUUUUGGUGCUCGAGUUUUUUCGGUUCCGACUCCUGUUCGUACCACUAUUGCUGUAAUUGCUCGAGGUCCAUUCUAAACAUUCCCUUUCGUUGUUAUAUUCUAUCACAUUGUGAGGUGUUUAUUUUGCUUUUAAUCUUACUGUUUAUUGAUUUCUGGUUGUGUUAGCAUGUGUUAGAUGUAAUUUAUUUUGUGAUAUUGAAAUCAGAUUUGUUUAUAAAGAGAUAAGGAUGAUAUAAUAGGCUAUAUUGGCUUUUAGAAGAGUAUGACGGAUAAAAAGAAAGCUUUAGUUUAAUUAAUCAUUGGGCCGUGGGGUUUUGGGAAUUAAUUGUUAAGAAAAAAAGAGCAUGAAAUGAAUUCCUCUGUUAUUUAAUUUCUUUUUAUUUAGUUUAUUUCUUCAUAUUAUCCGCUAGUAGCAUGUUUAGGCCGAUCACACUUGGGUAGUCAAGCUUUAGGACUUUUGUUUAAAUUUUGAGGCAAGAGGUUGUUCCCCUUAGUUUAUUAUUUUAUUCGGGGAAUGUCCCGAGGAUUUUGUAUAUAUUUUUAUCCGGGGUAUGCCCCAUAGUGAAUGUAAUUAGAGGCCAUGACGUACAUCGUGAAGUGAGCAUAGUAUAGACUUUUAGUAUUUUCACUCUUAUUUAAUUUUCUUUUCUCUUAUUUAGAUGGAGACAACCUCGAGCCUCUUGUAUGUUUAUUUUUAUUUCGUGUGUUUUUUCCUCAGUUUGAGUUUUCUUAAAAGCCAACUAGAUCAUGUAUGCAACUGUGACUUUCACGGGACUUGGGGAAUGCCUAAUACCUUCUCCCCGAGUCAAAUGAACCCCCUUAUCUAGAAUCUCUGGUGCAAACUGGUUUAGAGUCAAAUAUGUUUUAAGGAAAAAUUAUUUAUAAAUGGUGACUUGGCACACCGAGAUUAUAUGUCAAGUGGCGACUCUGAGAAAAUCCCUUUUAAACAAUCAUUUUGUCACUUUCACGAUUGAAAACCCUUUGAGCUUUAAAAUCACUUUAUAUCUUUUAAAGAGGGUUAGUGAGGUGAAAUAUAGGGUGUGACAAUUGGGACUCAAAUCCAAUGUCUCACCCUCAUAAAGGCAUGUUAAGCCAUAAUGCAUUGGGACUCAAACCCAACGUCGUUUCAUCAUGAUGCACCAGAACUCGAAUCCGGUGUCUGAACACCUCUUCCGAAAUAUUACUACUUCUGAUGCAAAUUCGAGGCAUGUAACAUAGAGAAUAGUUCUCUAGCAUGUCUUAAUCAAUAAUAAAUUUAGUAUUUGAACAUAUUAUCACUUUUAAUGAUCAUAACACCAAUCAGAACUAACAAUACUUUGAACAUAUAAUUAUUUAAUUUAGCUGUUAUAUGCAUAAAUGCUUAGUCAUAAUGAGCCUUUAUGAAAAUAUUAAUCAUCACUCUAAUGGUUAUAUAUUUCUUAUAAUUCUGUAGGCAAAUGAAAAGGACUAUGUAUCACCUACCAUUAUGGUUUGAAGAUGAAGAGUAAGUGCCAAGAGAAUUGAGAGAAUGAACCCAUAAGGUGGCUUUAUAUACUUAGUGGGUAAAAUUAUAUUUUUGUUAAAGUUUAUUGGGCUAUCGGUUAAACCGUUAAUAAAAUUGGGCAAAUCGAGACCCGAACUGAUAACCCAAUAGUCAAAUAAUAUUAAACCGUUAUCGAACUAUUUACCUAAUAACCCGAUAUCGAUAAGCCAAUAGUAUUUUACUGGUUCGCGCUAUCGGUUAUACCCAAUAUAUGCCCCGCCCUAUCCGAAACUUACCCGAGCCACCCGGGACCCCGUUCAAAUGAAACAACAAGUCCAUAAACAUAUUAUGGAUCUGUUCGAACUCUCGGAACACGUAAAACAACAUCAAAACUAAGAAUCGCAUCCCAAAACCCAAUUAUAUCAAAUUAUGAACUUCAAGCUUUUCAACUUACUUCGAACGCACCGAAUCAUACUUAGACUACUCAGAAUGAUACCAAAUUUUGCGUACAAGUCAUAAAUCACCAUACGGAACUAUUCUCAGGCUCAGAAUCCCAAGCGUAUCUCGAUAACACCAAAGUCUACUCCAAACCAAAUUCAAAGAACUUGAAAACCUUCAAUGCGCCAACUUCCACAUUAAGUGCCGAAACUCUCCCGGAUCAUCUGAAACCCGAUCUGAACACACGUCCAAGUCCAAAAUCAUCAUACAAACCUAUUGGAACCGUCAAAUCCCAGUUCUGAGGUCGUUUACUAAGAGAGUUUAUUCAAGUCAAACUUGGCCAUCUUAGGCCACUAUUAAGUAACCAAGUAUUCUGAUUUCAACCGGAACCCUUUCAAACCCAGGUCAACCACCCCCGCAAGUCAUUAAAUAAUAAAAGCACAUAUGGAGAAUCUUAAUUUGGGGAAUGAGGACCUAAAAAGUAAAAUGACCUGAAUACCAUAGUGAAUCUUUAUUCAAGUCAAACUUGGCCAUCUCCACAACCUGCUCGUAAGGAGGCCAUAGUGACCUGAAUACCAUAGUGCAAGCCCACAAUAAACCUAUUCACUUGCUCUGCAUCGGUGGGGAGUAUCAUAAGUUCAUGGCGAGACAACUCAGAGAACCUUGCCUCAUAAUCGAUCACAGACAUCUGACCCUGCUGGAGUCGCUCGAACUGACCCCGUAACACUUCCCUCUGAGAGGGUGGGAUAUAUCUCUCCAGAAAUAGACGAGUGAAUUGGUCUCAAGUCAAAGUAGGAGAACUUGCUGGUCUGCUAAGAAGAUAGGACUGCCACUAUCUACGGGCCUUGCCCUCUAGCUUAAAAGUGGUAAAGUCCACCCCAUGGGACUCCAAUACUCUCAUGUUGCUCACCGCCAAAAGCAGGAGGAUGUAGCCUGGUCCAUUUAUCUAAUAGCUUAUGCGGCUCGCCGGGUGCGACUGGUUUGGGAUCUAGGGUAGCCGUUGCAACUAGCUGAGCCACGCCCACGGGUAGUGCACUCGGGGUCUGAUAUACGGCAGCAGUAUGCCCUGGAGCCUGAGCGGUAGGGGUAUGUGAUCCCCAUCCUGCCUGAGAUGUGGCUGGGUCUGCUGGAAAUAAACCAGCAUGCAUCAUAGAGUCCAUGAACUGUAGCAUACAGCCCAUGACCUCCUGGAAACCUGGUGCGGACAUGAAAUCUGUUGGGCCGGCUCAGAUGCAGGUACCUCUCCCUGCUCUUCAAUAACAAGAUCAUCCACUAGAUCCACUGGUGGUACAGCUGGAGCAACUCUAGGACGCCCUCGAACUCUGGCAUGAGCUGGAGCCCUCCCUCGGUCUCUAGCAAUAGGGGGAGCAGCUCCUCCAUGGCCGAGUACAACUGUCGCGCCCGUUCUCAACAUCUGUGAGAGAAUAAGAGAAAGAUACUUAUCACAACAUCAAUUACACGAUAGGAGAUGAAGAAAGAGAAGUUUUCUAACACCCUAUAGCCUCUCGAAUAUAAGUACGGACGUCUCCGCACCGAUCCACAAGAUUCUAUUAGGCAUGCUCAUGACUUAUGAGACCUAUGUGAACCUAGAGCUCUAAUACCAAGCUGUCACGACCCAAUUUCCCCUAUAGGCCAUGAUGGCGCCCAACAUCAUCACUAGGUAAGCCAACGGUGAACUAGCCAUGUAAUUGUUCUUUUCAAUAAUUUCAAAGUAGUUGAUUUUAUUUAUUAAGAGAAUUUUAGUAGGAAAUUAUAGCAAAGUAAAUCAUAAACUAACGAAAGAGUAAAUAUAGUGAAUUUAAUACUCAAAACCAUAAAGUGUCUUCUAGAUUAUUCCCAAAAUCUGGUGUCACAAAUGUAUGAGCAACUAGUAGAAUAUACAAAAUCUUAUAUACUACUGUCUGGAGUAAGAUAGACAAAAAAUAAAUAAAAUAAGAGAGACUACGUGCUCUGCAGGACGGACACAGAGAGCAGCUCACCACUAAGCCUUGGGGUAACGGGGAUACGCACCUGAAUGACCGCCAGAUGCACAUGCCGCAGAUCCUGCACGAUUAGUGAAGAAGUAUAGCAUGAGUACAUAAACAACAUGUACCCAGUAAGUAUCUAGUCUAACAUCGAAGAAGUAGUAACGACGGGUCGACAUCGACACUACUAAGGGCCAAUAAAUAAAGUACAUACAUUCUAAAUAGGCAUGGAAUACAUUAAUAAUAGUAAUAACGCAAUAAUGAACAAUAAAUAAGUGGUCCUUUAAUUAGAUAUCAAUUAAGAUCCCCAACUAACACGUACUAACUUCAACAAAUAAGAGCCAUUAAUGUAAAUUUUAAUUUCUCAAGUCAUGGAAGUAAUAUUGAGUAAAAUCGGACUCUGAGCAAUAUCACGCACGAUUUAUGCUGAGGUCGUACGGCCCGAUCCAGAAUAAUAUGUACGUUGCCGAGGGUCGGCCGGCCCAAAUCAUAGAUGCAUUUAUUAUACUGCCAAAGUGCUCUGCCCACUCCACAAGAAGAGAGAAUACUCUACGAACUCCGAUCUAAUGGCUACUACAAGACUAAUACACCAGAAGGCACAAUUUCUACUAACAGUCAAGUAACCCGCCAAAACUCAAAGUAAUGAAGUUCGGUUCGUUGCGAAUCCUUUAUCAAGUAUCAAUAUAAUUUAAGCACUUAAGCUAACAAGUAGAGUACAAAUAAUACAAGUAUUACAUGAUAGAGUCCUAAAACUACCCGGACAUAAGCAUGAUUUCUAGCUACAUAUUGACUCUCGUCACUUCGUGCGUACAUAGCAUUCACAAUUAGUAGCAAAUAGCAAUUUAAAUACCUAUGGGGUAAAUUCCCUCUUACAAGGUUAGGCAAGAGACUUACCUCGUUCUCAAGUUCACAUUUCGGUCCACGAAUCACUCUAAAAGCCUGAAGUUAGUGCUGAACAAUCUGAAACUAGACAAAUAUUUUAUAAAUUAAUCAAUAUAUACUCAAAAGUUCAUAAUUUAGCUAUUAAAGUAAUUACCCAACCCGAAUUGAAAGAUUCCUAAAAUUUACCUAGGGGCCUACAUGCCCGGAUUUCAGAAUUUUUGAAGAUAAAUGUUACCCAUAACCUCACGAACCCAAAUAUAUAAUUUUUACUCAAUUCCAUAACAAUUUCGUGGUUUAAUCUCAUUUUUAUCAAAACCUAGGUUUUUCAACAAAAUCCUAAAUUUUUCACAAUUCUUGUUUAAAUUCAUUUGAAUUGGAUAGUUGAUAACUAGCUUACCUGAGCAGGNNNNNNNNNNNNNNNNNNNNNNNNNNNNNNNNNNNNNNNNNNNNNNNNNNNNNNNNNNNNNNNNAGCAAGUGUCUAGUAGAGUCUUGCGGAUCGGAAUGAUGACGUCCAUACUUAUCUUCGAGAGGCUACAGGGCAUUUAGGACAAUUUUCCAUCUUUCUUUCCUUAUCGUGCGGAAUUGAUUCAACAUGAAAUAUAACUCUUUGAAUUCCUUCCACGCAUUCGUGUGCGCAUGUGAGCGUUCGGUAUCAACUAUGUAUCACCGGCUUGUGAUUUUAGGGAUGACAUCGAGAUGUGUAUUUUGUGUUUUGGUGAUAGGUCAGUCUAGAGGACUUGAGACCAGGUUUGGACCAUAGCUUAGGCUCGAUAGCUUCAGUUGUAACUUGUACAUUUGGACUCAUAUGUCUGGUAGUAUCCCUAUGAGUGGAAAAUUUGUGGCUCGAUGAGCGGUCGAAUGGCUAUAUGAUGAGGAUGAUGCGAUUGCAAGAUGUGUUAAGAUGGAUUGAAUGUGACAAGAAGUGUUUACUUGGAAUUUAAAAAGGCCAAUGGGUGCUUGAUUUUCGUUUGAUGUGACGUACAAUCUCGAAUUAUGAGUGUGUUGAAGGAUCUGUCAUAUAGUUUAACUGUGGGGAGAAUUAGAUUUUCAUGUCUUGUUAAUGAGUUUGGACUCAGGAAGAUUAAGUGAUUGCGUAGUAAUUGUGAAUGCGAAGGGGUAUAACAAGAUGCCAAUUUGAGGCUAAGCAGGUGUGUUAUCUCCUGUAUAGUAAUCUACGUAGGUGUGUUCCUUAUAAUGUUGAUUAGAGAGUUCCUUUUCUACCAGCGGGUUAUAUGUGUUGAGAUUUGAAUUUGAAUCUAGUUGAGAAAGUUGACUUGACUAUCAAGAGAAUGAAUGCGAGAUUAGCGGAUGAUUGAGGUAUUUUAUGGUUGGUAUUGCAUGGACAUGAGAAGAAUUUUCGUUGAACUGACUGCGCUAUUAAGGCAGUAAUAAAGUAUGGGUAUUGUGAGUUAUCAAGUGUUUUAAUCUAUGGGUUUGAGCCAAGUGGGGGAGCCUGCUAUUGACAAUUUAAUUUCAUGGUUAUAUGUAAAGGUUUAGUUUUAGGCUGAGGCAUACUUGUUGGUUAGUUAUAACUUGCAGAGGUUGAGAUCGAGGAUGAAUCGAAUAAGGAAAAUCCUGGAUACUGGUUAUAUUGCACUUAUGAAUAUAUGAGAAUCAUGGAAUGAGUGAGUUGUUAUUUGUGAAGGAUGUAGUGCGCAUGCAGUAUGAAUUUGAUUGGUGGUGUUAAGGCAGGGGUACUUCUUUGGGUGUUGUUGUGCUAAUGGGGCAUGUGUCUUUCGGCCCAUUUGGGCGGUGCAAUUGAGAUUUGAGCAGAGUAGAUGACUCUCGAGAAAGUUCUAAUGGAUUCAAGAUUAAUAUAUAGCAAUUGAGAAUUUUUGGCGGAUUUGUUUAUGGCUAAAAUCUGAGAAUUAAAUUGGAUGGUGUCGAGACUUGUGGCAUUUUUGUAUAUCAUUAUGGAUUUUAUAUUUCGGUAUCAGGAAUUGUGAACAUGCGCCUAUGGUUAUCCUCUUCACGAAAUUGAGGAGUUGGUUGUAACAUUGUGGUUGCGGUGGUGCUUGUUGAACUUGCAAUACGGUUAUCUUCCUUGAGACAUCUCCCAUAUUUGGGUACACGGAUUGCGCAGUUGUGGCGAAGUUAUAUUGAUGUGGCGUGUAUGUAGAAUAGUUAUGUUUAAUAAUAGAAGGUCAUUGGACCUAGAAUAGGUACUAUCAGGUUUGAUUACGGUAUAUUUGGGAGGAUAAUAUUGAAAGUCGACUUAGCAAGUGAUUAUGGUUCUGGUUGGGGCGAGAGAACUCUAUGACUUGUUGAUCUAAUAAGGGGUCAUGAGAUUCCGCCUGUUUCUUUCAUUAUCAGCAAUGUACGAAAGAAAUUGUUAGAAGUUGAAAAUUGUUAGUUUUCAUUAGGCUUGGAUUGGAGUGAGAUUUGUAUUUUGAUGUGAUUUGAGGGCUCGACUAAGUUCGUAUAAUAUUUUAGGACUUAUUGGUACAUUCAGACGGGGGUCCCGAGUGGCUCGAAUGAGUUCCGGGGUGAGUUUUGAGUGAGUCCGGGCAUUUCGGCGCUCUGAUGUUGUUCUGGAACUUUUGGAAAUGCGGGGGCACAUUUUUGAGUGCUGAGGCACAAGAAAAGUGCAGACCGUACAAUUCUUCUCGCGGCCACACUUUAGGGUGGUUUGCAGGUUCGAUGGUCCGACUUCGGAGGCUUAUAUCUUUUAAUCUACAACGUAUUUGGAGAUGAUUCAAAAAUAAAAGUUGUAGCCCUUUGAAUCUAGUUUUCCAAAAAGGAAUAUCAACAAUCAUUUGGACAAUUUUACAGAAAGUUAUGGGUAUUUUACUGAAGCCUAGUAGUGCAGAGUUGUUGAAGUGCGACCGCAGCUCGUGGGAUGUGUAACCGCACAAGAAAAUGUGCGGUCAGCACAAUGGGGAUCAGAUUUUGUACUAUAUGAACGAGGGUUUCAUCUUAUUUUUCAUUUUUGAACUCGUAAAUGAAUGGGUUGUCAGAUUUUGUGAGUUUUGUCGAAUUUCGAGACGUGGGCCCCACUAUCGAUUUUUCGAGCGGAGUUCAUAAAUUGUUAAUUUUUAAGUAUUGGAGUAAAUUGUGAUUUAUUUGCACGUUAUUUGAAUAGAUACAGAUCACUGAGGUUGAUACGCGCGGAAUGGAAUUUUCGAAGUAUUGUUUAUAUUGCUCGGCAUUGGAUUCGGCUUGUUCGAGGUAAGUAACUCUUCUAAUAUUAGAGUUGAGUGUAUGAACCCCGAUUAUAAGUGGUAUGUGUUUGGUGUUGAGGUGACGCACAUGCUAGGUGACGGGUGUAGGGGCUUGCACCGUUUGAACUGUGACCCCGUUAUUCCUGUGGUACUGUGUAGUUACCUGAACUUAUCUGUAAUCAUAAAAUCUCUACGUACUAGAGUUAUCGAGUUGUGACUCAUGUAAAAAAUAAUGCUUAGGCAAAUGUUGGUAUUAUUGGGACCCACAGAGGUCAUUGUUAGUGACUUUGAGUGAUUGUGAGGAUUGAGUGACUGUGAGGACUAAGUGAUUGUGAGGACUGAGUUACUGGGAGGACUGAGUAAAAUGAUACUCUGAGAGUAUGCAUAUGGUUUUAUCACUGAGUUGCAUCGCAUUGACAUGCACAUUUGACAUACAGGCAUAGAAAUGCAUUUUCCUCAUAAUGUACGGUAUCACAUCAUUCAUGACUUCUCACACAUAUUGGCAUAUGGGCAUAGUGAUGCAUUUUUCACUGGUUAUCUGGAAAGAAAAUGAAAUAUCUUAUUUAUUGUUGAAAGGAUUUUUGUGAAAAUUAUUGUAUUCAAACUUACUCAUAUUUUUUGAAAUUUCGAUAAAAAACUUGAGUUUUCACUGAUACACUUGAGAGGCAUAACUCUUUUCAGAAAUCAUGAUUAAGCUGAGCAUUUUAUCUCUGAGUUACUUCUUGUAUUACUUGUUUUAUGUUGUUAUGGACUGUUGUUGGCUAUUGGUGUUGGACUCGACCUUUGUUCCAGCUCGUCACUACUUGCAACCUAAGGUUAAGUUUGUUACUUAUUGAGUACAUGGGGUCGGUUGUACUCAUACUACACAUCUGCACCUUGCAUGCAGAUAUUGGAUGCUGAUGUUGAUGGGAUCGACGUGAGCGGGAUUUGGAGACGUACAUGUGUUUCAGUCGUAGCUGCCUCUUAUUCAUGGUAGCCUUAGAGUUAUAAAAAUCUGUUUAUGUACAUUUCGAACAUAUGGUGUAUUUAUUUCAUACCAGCUUUAUAAAUUCUAAUCUUAGAAGCUCAUGAUUUAUACUACCAGUCCUUGAGGAAUGUAUAAGAUUUAGAUUUUAUUUUUUUUACUUAAUUGUCUUGUUUAAUUUUAUUGGAAUUGGAUAGUUGAUAACUGGC